rnacentral:rRNA from 1 species
CCUACGGGUGGCAGCAGUGAGGAAUAUUGGUCAAUGGACGGAAGUCUGAACCAGCCAUGCCGCGUGCAGGAUGAAGGCUCUAGGAGUUGUAAACUGCUUUUGGAUUAGGGUAAACACCCCUACGUGCAGGGGCAUGAAAGUAUAAUAAGAAUAAGGAUCGGCUAACUCCGUGCCAGCAGCCGCGGUAAUACGGAGGAUCCAAGCGUUAUCCGGAUUUAUUGGGUGUAAAGGGUGAGUAGGCGGUUAUAUAAGUUAGAGGUGAAAUCCCGGUGCUCAACACCGGAACUGCCUCUAAUACUAUUGAACUAGAGAGUAGUUGCGGUAGGCGGAAUGUAUGGUGUAGCGGUGAAAUGCUUAGAGAUCAGACAGAACACCGAUUGCGAAGGCAGCUUACCAACCUAUUUCUGACGUUGAGGCACGAAAGCGUGGGGAGCAAACAGGAUUAGAUACCCGGGUAGUC